GAUGAAGAACGUAGCGAAAUGCGAUAAGUAAUGUGAAUUGCAGAAUUCAGUGAAUCAUCGAAUCUUUGAACGCACAUUGCGCCCGCCAGCAUUCUGGCGGGCAUGCCUGUUCGAGCGUCAUUUCAACCCUCGAGCCCCCCCGGGGGCCUCGGUGUUGGGGGACGGCACACCAGCCGCCCCCGAAAUGCAGUGGCGACCCCGCCGCAGCCUCCCCUGCGUAGUAGCACACACCUCGCACCGGAGCGCGGAGGCGGUCACGCCGUAACGCCCAACUUUCUUAGAGUUGACCUCGGAUCAGGUAGGAAUACCCGCUGAACUUAAGCAUAUCAAUAAGCGGAGGA
rnacentral:misc_RNA from 1 species